rnacentral:rRNA from 1 species
CUACGGGCGGCUGCAGUUAGGCAUAAUCUACAAUGCGCGCAAGCGUGAUAGUUUGAGCCAGAGUGCUUUACAAUAGUAAAGCUUUUGCCAAAUCUAAAUUUUGGCGAAUAAGGACUGGGUAAGAGCGAGUGCCAGCCGCCGCGGUAAUACUCGCGGUCCAAGUCGCAGCCAUUUUUAUUGGGCCUAAAACAUCCGUAGCUUGCUUAGUGAGUUUCUUGUGAAAUCCGAUAUCUCAAGUAUUGGUCGGGCAAGAAGUACUGCUAAGCUAGAGACUGGAAGACGUAACGAGUACGUUCGGAGUAUCGGUAAAAUGAGUUAAUCCCGGACGGACUAACAACAGCGAAGGCACGUUACGAGAACAGUUCUGACAGUAAGGGAUGAAGGCUAGGGGCGCAAAAGGGAUUAGAUACCCCAGUAGUC